GGAAUUAUUCCGGAUACCGCUGCCCUUUCAAGGCAGAGAUCAAGGGUUCGAAUCCCUUUGGGGGCGCCA
rnacentral:tRNA from 1 species